CCUUGGGGAGGCAUUAACCCCACAAAUAACUAAUUCUAACUAAGGUUCUUUGAUAACCCAAGGGCCCAAAGAUCCCUGGUUUUUCCCGGAAGGAGGAAGGCGGAAUAACGAUUCCUUUCGAAAUGUAUCCCCCAAUAAAAAGGAAAAUUCCAAAGAUUAAUUCACCCGUCCCCCGUUUCAACAGAAAGAAAGUUAUCCCUACCGGUUCAAUUGGAUGGGGUAAGGCUGAAAUCAAAUUCCCGCGAAAGGAACCCC
rnacentral:rRNA from 1 species